CACCGGACCCAGAAGCACAACCGGCUGGCACUCAUCAAGAGAGUUUGCUGCACCUAGCCCAGGUGCGCCUGCAGUGCAGAGCGAGCUCCUCCCAGUCAAUCAAGAGGAAAAGAGAGGAAGCGAGAAAACCACGGAGACCUGCUAUGGUGGCCAACGAUCCCGCAAAGAGGGAACCGCGGUCCACUCACGGGAUUCAGCCUCCCGUCAAGCCCAGCAGGCGCAGGCCGCGCCCAGUGCGGGGCUUGCCCAGCCACUGAACCCGGUCCAGCCCCGGAGCGCCGCGCCUGCCUCUGUCUUCACACUUCCCCGCCAGCAGAGGGAGCCAGCUCCGGCCUUGGCGAGGCCCAGAGAGGGGCCUUCCUAACGCAGCGGCGGGCUGAGGGGCUCCUGGAGCGCCGCCAGAGCAGACACGGAGACCGAGGAGGCACCGAGAGCCAGCGAGGGCUGCUAGCACGUUGUCACCUCUCAAAGCCAUCAAUAUGAUUCUGAGAAGAUUGGCAUGCGUCCUGUUCUCCGAAGUGUUAAGCAUUUUCAGUGGAGAAAGCCAUCCUUGAAAUCAUCCUUAAAAUUGAUAUGCUAUCUGAAGAUCACUCAUUAAUAUGAUGCCACUAGGAUCAGUUAAAAGUCCUUUCACAUAAAACACAAGACAAAAAAAGGAGAGUCAUGUUCUCACAUGGAAUUCAGCCAGGUUUUUGGGAUUGUUUCUGGUAAGAAUAUGAUGAAAGGAGCAAGAAGUUUCACUUCUCAGGAAUCUCCUUGGACUGAGAUGUUUGGUAGCUCAACACUAUUUCCCAACAAAGUAGCUAACCAAGGCUAUGGUUAUGACUUCAGUUAUCGUAUCAGAGGCCUGCUUAUUUGAAAUAAAAGAUGAAUGAACACCA